GAGAUAUUGAUACUCUGGAAUUCUCAAAAGUUUUUAAUUUGAAUAUCUGUAUCGUAGUCUUUUUAGCAAUAGGAAUUUACAUAUGAUUUUAUAGCCAUUUCUUUUUCUAUGUCUUUUGAUAACAAAUUUGCUUUAACACAAACAUAUGUUGCUUCAGAAUUGAUUUUUUUUUCAAAAUGAAGAUUAAAAACAUUCUCUUUGGUGCUUGGUUUGCUAAGUAUAUAUACUUGUUCAUUGUUCAUAUAUACUAUUGUGAUUUUUUAAAAUAAGAUUAUGGCAUUAUUUGAUGUUUUUCACUGUGAUUACAAACAUUAAGAUUUUUGUGAUUUUUUUGCAUUUGUUGAUGAUUUUGAUGAUCUCGGGCUAGGUGAAGGGUAUUUAAUUAAAUAAAUUUUGUCAAAUAAACAAUUAUACAAUCA
rnacentral:misc_RNA from 1 species